rnacentral:Y_RNA from 1 species
GGCUGGUCCAAAGGUAGUGGGUUAUCAGAAAAACUGUUAGCAUUAGUGUCAUUAAAGUUGGUAAACCCCCCCAGUGCUGGAUUUGACUAGCUUAAA